CCUACGGGCGGCAGCAGUGGGGGAUAUUGCACAAUGGGGGGAACCCUGAUGCAGCGACGCCGCGUGGGUGAAGGAGCGUUUCGGCGCGUAAAGCCCUAUCGGCAGGGAAGAAGAUGACGGUACCUGACCAAGAAGCCCCGGCUAACUACGUGCCAGCAGCCGCGGUAAUACGGAGGGGGCAAGCGUUAUCCGGAUUUACGGGGUGUAAAGGGGGCGCAGACGGCAAUGCAAGCCAGGAGGGAAAGCCCGGGGCCCAAACCCGGGACGGGCCUUGGAACUGAAUGGAUGGAGGACAGGAGGGGCAGGCGGAAUUCCGAGUGGAGGGGGGAAAUGCGUAGAUAUUAGGAGGAACACCGGUGGCGAAGGCGGCCUGCUGGACUGGGACUGACGGUGAGGCCCGAAGGCGUGGGGAGCAAACAGGAUUAGAUACCCCUGUAGUC
rnacentral:rRNA from 1 species